AUAGACCAGGCUUUGUGCAACGCUCCUGCAGAUGCUAACAAAUUCGCCAUUUGCAAACGGAUUCCUUGAACCGGAGGAGAUUCCAUAUCCAUUUUCUCACUCUCGGCUUGUUUAAUGGCAGACUGGUAAGCCUUCCAGGCGUCCUGAAAGUCGUGAUUAUUUUCUCCCUUCUGUCGAUAUAAUGCUUCAUGUAAAUACUUAGCCACGGACCUGGGAUAAUUUUCAUCAAUUGGAGAAGGUUUGGCAAAAUAAACAGCAGCGACUCCUAAAACCGCGCAGCCCAGCAGGGUUGCCGGCAAUGGUCUUCGCCAAAAUGGCUUAUGGUAUUGAGAUGAGCGACGUAUAAAGACGUUUUGCAAAGAGCGUCUACUUUUCCAAAUCCAUUGCAUACGCAUACUUUUUUUUAAUCGUAUACAAACAAAUUAACUAAUACUAUAAUUUCCGAUAUUAGUAGUUUAUGUCAACAUAGAAAGCAUGGAAGGGUCAAACCACUAAUGUUUAGCCUCACUAAAUCUUUGGAGCAAAAUAUAAUGAGCGGUGUUAGUUACUUUUGUAUACCAGCGAUACCUAUCUUGGAUAAUAAUAAACAUUAUAUGUCAAAUUGCAAAAAACAAUGACACCACC